UCCUUCUCUUCCUUCUUUCUCUUCCAAUCCUUUUCAUCCUCCCUUUUUCUCUUCCUUCUUUCCCUUAUUCUCUCUUUAUUUAUCUUCUUCCUUCCUUCUUUCUCCUCCUUUCUCAUCCAAUUAUUUCCCCUUAUUCAAUUUUCUUCCAUUUCCUUCUUUCGUUGUUUAUAAGACGUAAUUGAAGCUGUAUGACCCGUAAAAGGGAAAGUUUGCCCCUGAAAAGCUUGUCACCCUUGGAAAUUAGGCUUAAAGGGUGUUUAAGACGCGUAUUAAAGGUCAUACUAUUUAAGGAGAAAAUUAAGAGGGAAAAGGUCACCGUGACGUCAUCGGGUCGGCAGCCAAUCAGCGCCCGGCUUUGGAUGACAACAAUGGCCUCGACCAAUCAGCGGCGAGGCUCUCUUGCGUCCAUCACUGUGUUCGGAUCCGUGGGUUUAUUACUUUAACUUUUCUCUGUUGGAGCUUGAGGUGUAAAGAGGAAUUGGAGUUUAUUAAUGUAGGCAGAUAAUACUGAUGAGUGUUUUGUUGUGCGUUGUGUGGUGUGUUGCGUGUGUGUUGUGCGUGGCGAGGCGGGUACAGCAGGCCGAGGUCAAGGCAGAGAAUGAGACAGGUUUUCUAGGUGUUCGAACGCCUCCGUUCUCGACUUUAUCUUAUUUCCAUUUGAGUGUGAGUUUAAAAGAGGAAACAGAGUUCAUGGGUGCGUGUAGAUAUUAAUGCGGAGUGUUUUGCGGUGUGUUGUAUAUAGUGUUGGCCCCGUGCCGCGCCUGGGGGGCGGGUCGGGGUGGCCGGGGCCGGGGCCGGGGCCGAGACAGGUGCCCCAGGCUGGCCAGCGACAUGGCUGACGGACGGAAGACGUUGUUUUGAACCCUCGCCCCCGCCAGCCCCCGCCGCGACCCGCGGGAAGAAUGUCCUGACCAGAGGGACCAUUAAGAAACGUGAUCCUCUCUGCUACCGGGUUAAUCAUCAGCGUCAAGUUGGUGCCCUUAACAUUUUAUUUAUAGUUUUUAAGAAUAUUCGGCAUCCCUUACACAAUGCUUUGCCUGAUCCUUUUACUCCUGCCCGGGUCACGAGGUUUGCUCCUUGUCAAAACGAUCUUGCUUCUAAUCCUAUGAAUUUUUGUACGACAAUUCUCACAAUGUUUUCUUCCAUCGUUGACAAGUUUAUUAUUUAUUUAUUUUUAUUUUUUUACGUCUAUGCCUAUAGUGCCAGUAGGCUUGCUUGAGGGGCCUGGAUGGUAUUCGGCCCCAGCCCAUCAUGGCGCAGGCAAGUGUUUAUAGUGGCGCCAUCUUCUCUUGGCUCAUGCUGCCCCCCGGAACUCAUUCUUGAUUAACUUGGACGGUUUCCUCUAGAGUCCGGGUUGAUGGGUGGUCUUCAGGACAGCAUGUGGGUAGUUUUAAGCCACUCGGCGGUGACUGAAAAAUCCCAGGUGGUAGCGUGGGGAUUCGAACCCGCGUCGUCCAUCCCGUGGUGAAUGUGGGCCCAGCACGCUACCACUCAGCCACCGUCUACCCUAAAUGGAAUGAGUUACCCAAUGAGACUGUCCUUUCUGCAGACAUUUCUACAUUUAAGUCUCGUGUGAAUGUCUUUUGAAACCAAUUUUAUUUUUCCUCCUUUUGGCUUUGAGUGGACAGUCUGGUUGCCUUUGCUUCUAUCAAGGACCUCUUGGUGUUUUGUGAGGUUAGUUAGUUUGAUAUAGAGAAGUUAGGUGAUUCAGUUAGUUAGUUUGAUAUAGAGAAGUUAGGUGAUCCAGUUAGAUAGUUUGAUAUAGAGAAGUUAGGUGAUUCAGUUAGAUAGUUUGAUAUAGAGAAGUUAGGUGAUCCAGUUAGAUAGUUUGAUAUAGAGAAGUUAGGUGAUUCAGUUAGAUAGUUUGAUAUAGAGAAGUUAGGUGAUCCAGUUAGAUAGUUUGAUAUAGAGAAGUUAGGUGAUCCAGUUAGAUAGUUUGAUAUAGAGAAGUUAGGUGAUUCAGUUAGAUAGUUUGAUAUAGAGAAGUUAGGUGAUUCAGUUAGUUAGUUUGAUAUAGAGAAGUUAGGUGAUCCAGUUAGAUAGUUUGAUAUAGAGAAGUUAGGUGAUUCAGUUAGAUAGUUUGAUAUAGAGAAGUUAGGUGAUCCAGUUAGAUAGUUUGAUAUAGAGAAGUUAGGUGAUCCAGUUAGAUAGUUUGAUAUAGAGAAGUUAGGCGAUUCAGUUAGAUAGUUUGAUAUAGAGAAGUUAGGUGAUUCAGUUAGAUAGUUUGAUAUAGAGAAGUUAGGUGAUUCAGUUAGAUAGUUUGAUAUAGAGAAGUUAGGUGAUUCAGUUAGAUAGUUUGAUAUAGAGAAGUUAGGUGAUUCAGUUAGAUAGUUUGAUAUAGAGAAGUUAGGUGAUUCAGUUAGAUAGUUUGAUAUAGAGAAGUUAGGUGAUUCAGUUAGAUAGUUUGAUAUAGAGAAGUUAGGUGAUUCAGUUAGAUAGUUUGAUAUAGAGAAGUUAGGUGAUCCAGUUAGAUAGUUUGAUAUAGAGAAGUUAGGUGAUUCAGUUAGAUAGUUUGAUAUAGAGAAGUUAGGUGAUUCAGUUAGAUAGUUUGAUAUAGAGAAGUUAGGUGAUUCAGUUAGAUAGUUUGAUAUAGAGAAGUUAGGUGAUUCAGUUAGAUAGUUUGAUAUAGAGAAGUUAGGUGAUUCAGUUAGAUAGUUUGAUAUAGAGAAGUUAGGUGAUCCAGUUACAUAUUCCUUUGUGUAUCGUGGUUGAGGGUCGGCAUUCACUUAUUCAUCCACUUAUUCACAUUAAGACAAGUUUGUAAGUAUUGCAAGUAAGUUUGUGCUGGGAAGUCAUUCAUUAUUUAUCGUAUUUAUUAUCAUUGUUACCUCUGCCCAUGAAGUUGCAGGAGGUUAUAUUUUUGCCCCGGUCAGUAAGGUUGUUUGUUUGUUUGUUUGUUUGUUAACAGUCUCCUGUGCACAAGUUUGCAUAUAUCUCGACCAAUUUUUCAGGGAAGCUUCGUGUCCAUCCAGUAUAAAACCCAUUGAAUUUUUGAUGUCAAAGGUCAAAGGUCGCACAAAACGUUUUUAUUUUUGGCCAUAACUUCGGUUCUCGUCAUCGUAGAGACUUCAGACUUGGUUCAUAUUUUAGCAAGCAUUGCCUUGACCUUAACCUUUGACCUUGACCUCGAAAAGUUUGCCCAAAGUCAAAUUUUGAAACAAAUGCUUUCAUAUGAUGCACAGGGUCACAGUUGAUGCCCAUACCAAUUUUCAGGACGAUCUUUGUCUUUGUUUUUUCUUCCUCUGUCUCCCUGGUGUGUGUUUCCUCUCCCUCCCUGUCUUUGUUUUUUCUCCCCCUGUCUCCCUGGUGUGUGUUUCCUCUCCCUCCCUGUCUUUGUUUUUUCUUCCCCUGUCUCCCUGGUGUGUGUUUCCUCUCCCUCCCUGUCUUUGUUUUUUCUUCCCCUGU